CCUACGGGAGGCAGCAGUGAGGAAUAUUGGUCAAUGGACGAGAGUCUGAACCAGCCAAGUAGCGUGAAGGAUGACUGCCCUAUGGGUUGUAAACUUCUUUUAUAUGGGAAUAAAAUGUUCCACGUGUGGGAUUUUGUAUGUACCAUAUGAAUAAGGAUCGGCUAACUCCGUGCCAGCAGCCGCGGUAAUACGGAGGAUCCGAGCGUUAUCCGGAUUUAUUGGGUUUAAAGGGAGCGUAGGUGGAUUGUUAAGUCAGUUGUGAAAGUUUGCGGCUCAACCAUAAAAUUGCAGUUGAAACUGGCAGUCUUGAGUACAGUAGAGGUGGGCGGAAUUCGUGGUGUAGCGGUGAAAUGCUUAGAUAUCACGAAGAACUCCGAUCGCGAAGGCAGUUCACUGGACUGCAACUGACACUGAGGCUCGAAAGUGUGGGUAUCAAACAGGAUUAGAUACCCCGGUAGUC
rnacentral:rRNA from 1 species